AUUCUGGUUGAUCCUGCCAGUAGUUAUAUGCUUGUCUCAAAGAUUAAGCCAUGCAUGUCUAAGUACACACGAAUUAAAAGUGAAACCGCAAAAGGCUCAUUAUAUCAGUUAUGGUUCCUUAGAUCGUUAACAGUUACUUGGAUAACUGUGGUAAUUCUAGAGCUAAUACAUGCAAUUAAAACAUGAACCUUAUGGGACAUGUGCUUUUAUUAGGCUAAAACCAAGCGAUCGCAAGAUCGUUAUAUUGGUUGAACUCUAGAUAACAUGCAGAUCGUAUGGUCUUGUACCGACGACAGAUCUUUCAAAUGUCUGCCCUAUCAACUUUUGAUGGUAGUAUCUAGGACUACCAUGGUUGCAACGGGUAACGGGGAAUCAGGGUUCGAUUCCGGAGAGGGAGCCUGAGAAACGGCUAC
rnacentral:ncRNA from 1 species